UACCCUUGAGACAAUCUGUUCACGUUCCUAGGGUUCUUUCGAGCACGGGAGCGUCUCAUUCCCGUCAGUCUCCGUUUCUGAUCUGCCCUCGGAAUUAGGGCUCACUGACAUCAUGGACGCCCAGAGAGCUCUCCUGGACGAACUCAUGGGGACAGCUCGUAAUCUGACGGACGAGCAGAAAAAGAAGUACAAGGAGGUGCACUGGGACGAUAAGGAGGUGUGCGGCUGCUACAUGGUUCGUUUCUGUCCGCACGAUCUGUUCGUGAACACGAAAAGCGACCUUGGAGCUUGUCCUAGAAUCCAUGACCAGAAACUGAAGGAGAGCUUUGAGAAGUCCCCUAGACAUGAUGCUCAUGUUCCAAAGUUUGAAGCAGACCUUGCAAAAUUCUGUGAGAAGCUGGUGACAGAUUUAGAUAGAAAAGUCAAGCGUGGUCGUGACCGAUUAGAACAAGAGGUAGAGGCAACACCUCCUCCGGUCCCUAAUGAAAAACCUGAACACCUCUCAGUGUUAGAAGAAAAGAUCAAAAAGCUUCUAGAGCAAAUUGAGACGCUUGGUGAAGCAGGAAAGAUAGAUGAAGCUGAGGCACUUAUGAGAAUGGUUGAUAUGCUUAAUGCUGAGAAGGCAACUUUGUCUCAACAAUCAGCAACUGAUAAGGUUAUUCUUCCACAAGAGAAGAAAAUGGCACUAUGUGAGAUUUGUGGCUCAUUUUUGGUAGCAAAUGAUGCUGCUGAGAGGACACAAACUCAUGUUACCGGAAAGCAACAUAUUGGUUAUGGUAUGAUCCGAGAUUUUCUUAGUGAGUUCAAGGCUGCUAAGGAGAAGGCAAGGGAAGAAGAGAAACUAGCUAGGGAGAAAGAAGCAGAGGAACGAAGGAAACAGCAUGAAAAGGAUCUCAGGAUUCGUGUUAGGGAGAGUGAUGUGGGUAGAAGAGAAAGGUCCAGAGAGCGUGACCAUGAACGUGAUCGACAUGGUGACCGGAACUAUGAGCGAGAAAGAUCAAGCAGGGUAGGAGGGGCAAGCCAUAAGCAUGACUAUCACAGAAAUGGGAGAGAAUCUAACAGAGUUAGGUAUCAUAACAGAUCUGGAGCACGAAGCAGGUCCAGGUCUCCUUCCAGGCAUGGCUAUAGAAGGUCGAGUCCAGUUUGACAAUGCUAGCUAUUAGUAUUAAUAGUCUGUCAAGUACUGAGAACAAAGAGCUCUGUUGAAGUCAAUGUGGUAUUCAAGUUAAAAGAAAAACAUUGAGAUUUUGAAACAUGACGUGGUGUGGCGUUGAAGAUGAUGAUUAUUAAUCAACUUAUGCAAGGUAAUACCAGUUAUACCUACUUUUUAAGUGUAAUCGAGCCUCUACAAAAUCUCAAUUGAUUAACUUAUUUGAUCAGUCCCCAAGUCAUUGCUACCAUCUACCAACUUGCUCAGAUUAUCAAAAAUUGGAAAUGCUAAAAUCUACUAAUCCCACAAAAUCUUUAGACUACAUAUGCAAGGAAAAUGUGAAUGUUUGAUCCCUAGUGUGUCAUUUAUUUGUUAAUUUAGUUGUUAAAUUCCAAAUUUUUUGACGUAGUUUCCUUUUGUUUUAGUCUGACCAACAUACAAAAAAAAACAUCACUCCAGUUAUGCUGAAUGACAGAUUUCGAUCUUGGAACUUUUGUCUCCUUUUUUUUUUACCCAAAAAAAAACACAAUUGCAUUUGUACAAUAGUUGUGAAUGGAUACUCAUUCAAAUGCUUUAAGUGAAUUUUCUCUUUUGUCUCCCUUGUUUCCAGGAUAUGGGGUUUGUAAUGCUAUGGAAAUUGUCCAUUUUGUUCACGGGUUACUUGUCUUUGCAUUUGCUUGUUGAAAUAGUGGAAAGUAGGGAGUUUGGACAGCAAUUAUUGACAAAGUGAAAUGUCUAAGAUAACCUUUACUUGCCAUAAUCUAUGGCUUAUUUAUUUGCAUGGAUGAAUGGAAGGGAAAAGUAUGCAGACGGAGGAUAUAUAUAUUUUUUUUCAUGCAUUUUGCCGGUUUCUAUCUCUGUACCUUUCCCUUUCUUUCUUCUUUACUAUUCACCAGCCAUUCCAAGUUCUUAGAAAAAUUCUCUAAGGUCACGACUCACAUAGCUGAUGUUUCAAUUGAGUGUUACAGUUUUUUAGGAAGGUAAAAAUUCACCAAAUGCCAUUUAAUGACUUGUAUGUUUCGUUGCUACAGGAGAUAUUGAUUAGUGUCAAUAUCUUCUAGAAUUGCCCUCUAUCUUUCUGUGAGAAGUCAUCUACAGCAAAUGCUUGCUUUAUUUUUCAUCUUGUUAUUCAGUCUUUUUUUUUUUUUUUGUAGGUUUGUCAUUCGUUUUUGCAUAUAUUGUUAGUUGCACGGUAACUGAAUUCUGCUGUAAAGAUGUCGUCGUGAUCCAAAAUGAUAUAUUGCUGAAAUUGUAGUCCCUCUUAUUAGUUUAGAAUGCCACCUUUUUUUAGAAGUUGACUUGUAGAACUAUUAUUACAUUCUUGAAUCUAUGGGACUUUUAUCAGUCGAGCCAGUACUGGAGCAUCGUUACCACCUUGUAUCUGUUCGACUUAAGCAACUCAUACAAGUACCGGAGCAUUGAGGUAACACCCUAGACUUGUUUUCACUUAAAUGGUUGAUGAAAAUUUGCGCCGUAGCUUCAGGUUAUGGAAAAUUAGGGAAGAAAUGCCAGAUGAUGAUGUUGCUUGAACCUAUAGACCGACCAUUCACACUUUGCAGCUCAAACAAAUAGUAGGAAUCAUAGGGCUCCGUGGAAGAGUAAAAUCUAUAUAUAAUUGAUGAUGAGGAAAAAAGUGUUGGAUGAUGUUUCUUUCAUCUGUACAGAUCUUCACCUGCUCAAACUAGAAGUGGAGCAUGGUUGAAUGGUUAAUGAUUCUUUUUUUUUUUUUUGUAAUGCUAAAAUUUAAAUCAUCAAAGUUUAGUUCGCGUUGAAGAGGA